CGGAAAACUGAAACACACUACUGGUACCUGCACGUGUCCCAAAAAAUCCCAAAUCAGACCUAGGGUCCCUUUUGGCCAAUAUCGAAAUUCCGGCACGGCGGCUCCGCCAUGCUCCGGCGACGUGAACCAUUAACAUUAAUAACCUGAUUUCAGGGUCGUCCCCGUACCCCGUCUGGUAUGGGGGCCAAGACCAUAAACCUCAAUACCCCAUCCGGUAUGAGGGUGAAAUGGGCCGUCUCCAUACCCCGUCCG
rnacentral:lncRNA from 1 species